GGGUUGUGAGGUUAAGCGACUAAGCGUACACGGUGGAUGCCCUGGCAGUCAGAGGCGAUGAAGGGCGUGCUAAUCUGCGAUAAGCGCCGGUAAGGUGAUAUGAACCGUUAUAACCGGCGAUACCCGAAUGGGGAAACCCAGUGUGAUUCGUCACACUAUCAUUAACUGAAUCCAUAGGUUAAUGAGGCGAACCGGGGGAACUGAAACAUCUAAGUACCCCGAGGAAAAGAAAUCAACCGAGAUUCCCCCAGUAGCGGCGAGCGAACGGGGAGGAGCCCAGAGCCUGAAUCAGCAUGUGUGUUAGUGGAAGCGUCUGGAAAGGCGCGCGAUACAGGGUGACAGCCCCGUACACAAAAGCGCAUGUGCUGUGAGCUCGAUGAGUAGGGCGGGACACGUGGUAUCCUGUCUGAAUAUGGGGGGACCAUCCUCCAAGGCUAAAUACUCCUGACUGACCGAUAGUGAACCAGUACCGUGAGGGAAAGGCGAAAAGAACCCCGGCGAGGGGAGUGAAAAAGAACCUGAAACCGUGUACGUACAAGCAGUGGGAGCACAGGUUUACCUGUGUGACUGCGUACCUUUUGUAUAAUGGGUCAGCGACUUAUAUUCUGUAGCAAGGUUAACCGUAUAGGGGAGCCGUAGGGAAACCGAGUCUUAACCGGGCGUUAAGUUGCAGGGUAUAGACCCGAAACCCGGUGAUCUAGCCAUGGGCAGGUUGAAGGUUGGGUAACACUAACUGGAGGACCGAACCGACUAAUGUUGAAAAAUUAGCGGAUGACCUGUGGCUGGGGGUGAAAGGCCAAUCAAACCGGGAGAUAGCUGGUUCUCCCCGAAAGCUAUUUAGGUAGCGCCUCGUGAAUUCAUCUCCGGGGGUAGAGCACUGUUUCGGCUAGGGGGCCAUCCCGGCUUACCAACCCGAUGCAAACUGCGAAUACCGGAGAAUGUUAUCACGGGAGACACACGGCGGGUGCUAACGUCCGUCGUGAAGAGGGAAACAACCCAGACCGCCAGCUAAGGUCCCAAAGUCAUGGUUAAGUGGGAAACGAUGUGGGAAGGCCCAGACAGCCAGGAUGUUGGCUUAGAAGCAGCCAUCAUUUAAAGAAAGCGUAAUAGCUCACUGGUCGAGUCGGCCUGCGCGGAAGAUGUAACGGGGCUAAACCAUGCACCGAAGCUGCGGCAGCGACACUAUGUGUUGUUGGGUAGGGGAGCGUUCUGUAAGCCUGUGAAGGUGUGUCGUGAGGCAUGCUGGAGGUAUCAGAAGUGCGAAUGCUGACAUAAGUAACGAUAAAGCGGGUGAAAAGCCCGCUCGCCGGAAGACCAA
rnacentral:rRNA from 1 species